rnacentral:misc_RNA from 1 species
GAUGAAGAACGUAGCGAAAUGCGAUAAGUAAUGUGAAUUGCAGAAUUCAGUGAAUCAUCGAAUCUUUGAACGCACAUUGUGCCCGCCAGUAUUCUGGCGGGCAUGCCUGUUCGAGCGUCAUUUCAACCAUCAAGCCCCCGGCUUGUGUUGGGGACCUGCGGCUGCCGCAGGCCCUGAAAACCAGUGGCGGGCUCGCUAGUCACUCCGAGCGUAGUAAUACAUCUCGCUCAGGGCGUGCUGCGGGUUCCGGCCGUUAAAAGCCUUAUUUACCCAAGGUUGACCUCGGAUCAGGUAGGAAGACCCGCUGAACUUAAGCAUAUCAAUAAGCGGAGGA